UGGGGAAUAUUGCACAAUGGGGGAAACCCUGAUGCAGCGACGCCGCGUGAGCGAAGAAGAUCUUCGGAUUGUAAAGCUCUGUCUUAGGGGACGAUAAUGACGGUACCCUGAGAGGAAGCCACGGCUAACUACGUGCCAGCAGCCGCGGUAAUACGUAGGUGGCAAGCGUUGUCCGGAAUUACUGGGUGUAAAGGGAGCGCAGGCGGGUAAGCAAGUUGGAAGUGAAACUCAUGGGCUCAACCCAUGACCUGCUUUCAAAACUGUUAUCUUGAGUGGUGUAGAGGUAGGCGGAAUUCCCGGUGUAGCGGUGGAAUGCGUAGAUAUCGGAGGAACACCAGUGGCGAAGGCGGACCUACUGGGCACUAACUGACGCUGAGGCUCGAAAGCAU
rnacentral:rRNA from 1 species